rnacentral:rRNA from 1 species
GUACUUAACGCGUUAACUACAGCACCGAAGUUAAGUUUCCGAUACUUAGUACCAUCGUUUACGGCGUGGACUACUAGGGUAUCUAAUCCUGUUUGCUCCCCACGCUUUCGCUCCUUAGUGUKAGUUDUAGUUCAGGAAGUUGCCUUUGCUACCGGUGUUCCUUUUGAUCUCUACGGAUUUUACUCCUACACCAGAAAUUUCACUUCCCUCUCCUAUACUCUAGCGAUGCAGUAUCAAAUGCAAUUUCACGGUUGAGCUGUGGGCUUUUACAUUUGACUUACAAAGCCACCUACGAGCGCUUUAUGCCCAGUGAUUUCGAUUAAUGCUUGCACCUUUAGUAUUACUGCGGCUGCUGGCACUGAAUUAGCCGGUGCUUCCUCUAGAGGUACCGUUAAUUACUAAGAGUAUUAUUCUUAAUAGGUUUCUUCUCUCUUGAUAGGAGUUUACGAUCUGAAAACCUUUAUUCUCUACGCGGCGUCGCUGCGUCAGACUUUUUGUCCAUUGCGCAAUAUUCUCCACUGCUGCCUCUUGUAGAGUCUGGGCCGUGUUCUAGUCUCAGUGUGGCACGCCACCCUCUCAGGCCUGCUAUUCAUCGUUGCUA